UAACAACAUAGUAAAGGUACGCUUACACGGGCAAUUGAAUUCCACUAUUCCAGGCAAUUUAGUCAGUUAUGAUGUCACGACCACACGAAGCAAUUU